rnacentral:rRNA from 1 species
AUACCUACGGGGCGCAGCAGUGGGGAAUAUUGCACAAUGGGGGAAACCCUGAUGCAGCAACGCCGCGUGAGUGAAGAAGUAUUUCGGUAUGUAAAGCUCUAUCAGCAGGGAAGAAGAUGACGGUACCUGAGUAAGAAGCCCCGGCUAACUACGUGCCAGCAGCCGCGGUAAUACGUAGGGGGCAAGCGUUAUCCGGAUUUACUGGGUGUAAAGGGAGCGUAGACGGCGUGCCAAGUCUGAUGUGAAAGGCCGGGGCUCAACCCCGGGACUGCAUUGGAAACUGGCAUGCUGGAGUGCCGGAGGGG